rnacentral:rRNA from 1 species
UGGGGAAUUUUGGACAAUGGGCGAAAGCCUGAUCCAGCAAUGCCGCGUGUGUGAAGAAGGCCUUCGGGUUGUAAAGCACUUUUGUCCGGAAAGAAAUCCUCUGGGUUAAUACCUCGGGGGGAUGACGGUACCGGAAGAAUAAGCACCGGCUAACUACGUGCCAGCAGCCGCGGUAAUACGUAGGGUGCAAGCGUUAAUCGGAAUUACUGGGCGUAAAGCGUGCGCAGGCGGUUUUGUAAGACGGAUGUGAAAUCCCCGGGGCUUAACCUGGGAACUGCAUUCGUGACUGCAAGGCUAGAGUAUGGCAGAGGGGGGUAGAAUUCCACGUNUGAGCAGUGAAAUGCGUAGAGAUGUGGAGGAAUACCGAUGGCGAAGGCAGCCCCCUGGGCAAUACUGACGCUCAUGCACGAAAGCGUGGGGAGCAAACAGGAUU